UACUUAAUCAAUCGAAUUAAAAAAAUGAAAAUCCUAUCUUUUGGACUUGUGGCUUUGGCCUUCGUUUUAGGUUAUGCCAAUGCCGAACCAUGCAAUUUGGGCGGAGGUGGCGGUAAUAAUGGCAAAUAGAAACUCGUGGAUCCCUAGUCUUUGACAAGCCAUCCCAUGAUAACCGGCUCAUAAUAAUUCUAAUCAUGUGCAAAAAAUAAAAAUAAUAAUAAACUCUAAAAAAGUUACGAAA
rnacentral:sRNA from 1 species